UACGAAGGGGGCUAGCGUUGUUCGGAAUUACUGGGCGUAAAGCGCGCGCAGGCGGUCUUCCAAGUCAGGGGUGAAAGCCUGGAGCUCAACUCCAGAACUGCCAUUGAAACUGUUGGACUUGAGUACGAGAGAGGUGAGUGGAAUUCCCAGUGUAGAGGUGAAAUUCGUAGAUAUUCGGAAGAACACCAGUGGCGAAGGCGACUCACUGGACACGUAUUGACGCUGAGGUGCGAAAGCGUGGGGAGCAAACAGG
rnacentral:rRNA from 1 species